AUGAUUAUCGUUGGCGGAAGUGGAUGCAGAGUUGACGGAGGAGUUGUUGGGGCGGUAGUCGCGCUCGUAGCGAUCGCGGCAAUCCAUCGCCUCAUGCCCCCAGUUCGUGCAGAUUUGGCAACGGGGGCGCCAACGUCCAUUCACUCCUCCAUUGCGGCCAUUGCCUCCGCCACCGCCUUCGUUGUGGCCAUUGCCGCCGCCAGUGCGACGUCGAUCCUGGCCGCCCUGCCCCUGGUUUUGCAGGGCGUUACCCCCAGUGGGACGACCACCACUUGGGUGAACGGAGUCCUGCACACGGCCAGGGUUGUUGUUGUAAUAGGGGAGCUAACCAGGUAG
rnacentral:rRNA from 1 species